rnacentral:rRNA from 1 species
CAGUAACCACGGUAAUACAGAGGUCUCAAGCGUUGUUCGGAUUCAUUGGGCGUAAAGGGUGCGUAGGUGGCGGUGUAAGUCUAACGUGAAAUCUCGGGGCUCAACCUCGAAAUUGCGUCGGAUACUGCAUUGCUAGAGGAUUGUAGAGGAGAGUGGAAUUCAUGGUGUAGCAGUGAAAUGCGUAGAUAUCAUGAGGAAGACCAGUUGCGAAGGCGACUCUCUGGGCAAUUCCUGACUCUGAGGCACGAAGGCUAGGGGAGCAAACGGGAUUAGAUACCCCCGUAGUCCCUGUCUCUUAUAC